rnacentral:rRNA from 1 species
GGUUAAGCGACUAAGCGUACACGGUGGAUGCCACGGCAGUCAGAGGCGAUGAAGGACGUGCUAAUCUGCGAUAAGCGUCGGUAAGGUGAUAUGAACCGUUAUAACCGGCGAUUUCCGAAUGGGGAAACCCAGUGUGUUUCGACACACUAUCAUUAACUGAAUCCAUAGGUUAAUGAGGCGAACCGGGGGAACUGAAACAUCUAAGUACCCCGAGGAAAAGAAAUCAACCGAGAUUCCCCCAGUAGCGGCGAGCGAACGGGGAGGAGCCCAGAGCCUGAAUCAGUGUGUGUGUUAGUGGAAGCGUCUGGAAAGGCGCGCGAUACAGGGUGACAGCCCCGUACACAAAAAUGCACAUACUGUGAGCUCGAUGAGUAGGGCGGGACACGUGGUAUCCUGUCUGAAUAUGGGGGACCAUCCUCCAAGGCUAAAUACUCCUGACUGACCGAUAGUGAACCAGUACCGUGAGGGAAAGGCGAAAAGAACCCCGGCGAGGGAGUGAAAAAGAACCUGAAACCGUGUACGUACAAGCAGUGGGAGCCUCUUUUAUGGGGUGACUGCGUACCUUUUGUAUAAUGGGUCAGCGACUUAUAUUCUGUAGCAAGGUUAACCGAAUAGGGGAGCCGAAGGGAAACCGAGUCUUAACUGGGCGUUAAGUUGCAGGGUAUAGACCCGAAACCCGGUGAUCUAGCCAUGGGCAGGUUGAAGGUUGGGUAACACUAACUGGAGGACCGAACCGACUAAUGUUGAAAAAUUAGCGGAUGACUUGUGGCUGGGGGUGAAAGGCCAAUCAAACCGGGAGAUAGCUGGUUCUCCCCGAAAGCUAUUUAGGUAGCGCCUCGUGAAUUCAUCUCCGGGGGUAGAGCACUGUUUCGGCAAGGGGGUCAUCCCGACUUACCAACCCGAUGCAAACUGCGAAUACCGGAGAAUGUUAUCACGGGAGACACACGGCGGGUGCUAACGUCCGUCGUGAAGAGGGAAACAACCCAGACCGCCAGCUAAGGUCCCAAAGUCAUGGUUAAGUGGGAAACGAUGUGGGAAGGCCCAGACAGCCGGGAUGUUGGCUUAGAAGCAGCCAUCAUUUAAAGAAAGCGUAAUAGCUCACUGGUCGAGUCGGCCUGCGCGGAAGAUGUAACGGGGCUAAACCAUGCACCGAAGCUGCGGCAGCGACGCUUAUGCGUUGUUGGGUAGGGGAGCGUUCUGUAAGCCUGUGAAGGUGUACUGUGAGGUAUGCUGGAGGUAUCAGAAGUGCGAAUGCUGACAUAAGUAACGAUAAAGCGGGUGAAAAGCCCGCUCGCCGGAAGACCAAGGGUUCCUGUCCAACGUUAAUCGGGGCAGGGUGAGUCGACCCCUAAGGCGAGGCCGAAAGGCGUAGUCGAUGGGAAACAGGUUAAUAUUCCUGUACUUGGUGUUACUGCGAAGGGGGACGGAGAAGGCUAUGUUAGUAGGGCGACGGUUGUCCCGGUUUAAGCGUGUAGGCUGGUUUUCCGGGCAAAUCCGGAAAAUCAAGGCUGAGGCGUGAUGACGAGGCACUACGGUGCUGAAGCAACAAAUGCCCUGCUUCCGGGAAAAGCCUCUAAGCAUCAGGUAACAUCAAAUCGUACCCCAAACCGACACAGGUGGUCAGGUAGAGAAUACCAAGGCGCUUGAGAGAACUCGGGUGAAGGAACUAGGCAAAAUGGUGCCGUAACUUCGGGAGAAGGCACGCUGAUAUGUAGGUGAAGCGACUUGCUCGUGGAGCUGAAAUCAGUCGAAGAUACCAGCUGGCUGCAACUGUUUAUUAAAAACACAGCACUGUGCAAACACGAAAGUGGACGUAUACGGUGUGACGCCUGCCCGGUGCCGGAAGGUUAAUUGAUGGGGUUAGCGGUAACGCGAAGCUCUUGAUCGAAGCCCCGGUAAACGGCGGUAGUAACUAUAACGGUCCUAAGGUAGCGAAAUUCCUUGUCGGGUAAGUUCCGACCUGCACGAAUGGCGUAAUGAUGGCCGGAGCUGUCUCCACCCGAGACUCAGUGAAAUUGAACUCGCUGUGAAGAUGCAGUGUACCCGCGGCAAGACGGAAAGACCCCGUGAACCUUUACUAUAGCUUGACACUGAACAUUGAGCCUUGAUGUGUAGGAUAGGUGGGAGGCUUUGAAGUGUGGACGCCAGUCUGCAUGGAGCCGACCUUGAAAUACCACCCUUUAAUGUUUGAUGUUCUAACGUUGGCCCCUGAUCGGGGUUGCGGACAGUGUCUGGUGGGUAGUUUGACUGGGGCGGUCUCCUCCUAAAGAGUAACGGAGGAGCACGAAGGUUGGCUAAUCUGGUCGGACAUCAGGAGGUUAGUGCAAUGGCAUAAGCCAGCUUGACUGCGAGCGUGACGGCGCGAGCAGGUGCGAAAGCAGGUCAUAGUGAUCCGGUGGUUCUGAAUGGAAGGGCCAUCGCUCAACGGAUAAAAGGUACUCCGGGGAUAACAGGCUGAUACCGCCCAAGAGUUCAUAUCGACGGCGGUGUUUGGCACCUCGAUGUCGGCUCAUCACAUCCUCGGGGCUGAAGUAGGUCCCAAGGGUAUGGCUGUUCGCCAUUUAAAGUGGUACGCGAGCUGGGUUUAGAACGUCGUGAGACAGUUCGGUCCCUAUCUGCCGUGGGCGCUGGAGAACUGAGGGGGCUGCUCCUAGUACGAGAGGACCGGAGUGGACGCAUCACUGGUGUUCGGGUUGUCAUGCCAAUGGCACUGCCCGGUAGCUAAAUGCGGAAGAGAUAAGUGCUGAAAGCAUCUAAGCACGAAACUUGCCCCGAGAUGAGUUCUCCCUGAGACUUUAAGUCUCCUGAAGGAACGUUGAAGACGACGACGUUGAUAGGCCGGGUGUGUAAGCGCAGCGAUGCGUUGAGCUAACCGGUACUAAUGAACCGUGAGGCUUAACCUU